CAAGUCGAGCGAACAGACGAGGAGCUUGCUCCUCUGACGUUAGCGGCGGACGGGUGAGUAACACGUGGAUAACCUACCUAUAAGACUGGGAUAACUUCGGGAAACCGGAGCUAAUACCGGAUAAUAUAUUGAACCGCAUGGUUCAAUAGUGAAAGACGGUUUUGCUGUCACUUAUAGAUGGAUCCGCGCCGCAUUAGCUAGUUGGUAAGGUAACGGCUUACCAAGGCAACGAUGCGUAGCCGACCUGAGAGGGUGAUCGGCCACACUGGAACUGAGACACGGUCCAGACUCCUACGGGAGGCAGCAGUAGGGAAUCUUCCGCAAUGGGCGAAAGCCUGACGGAGCAACGCCGCGUGAGUGAUGAAGGUCUUCGGAUCGUAAAACUCUGUUAUUAGGGAAGAACAAAUGUGUAAGUAACUAUGCACGUCUUGACGGUACCUAAUCAGAAAGCCACGGCUAACUACGUGCCAGCAGCCGCGGUAAUACGUAGGUGGCGAGCGUUAUCCGGAAUUAUUGGGCGUAAAGCGCGCGUAGGCGGUUUUUUAAGUCUGAUGUGAAAGCCCACGGCUCAGCCGUGGAGGGUCAUUGGAAACUGGAAAACUUGAGUGCAGAAGAGGAAAGUGGAAUUCCAUGUGUAGCGGUGAAAUGCGCAGAGAUAUGGAGGAACACCAGUGGCGAAGGCGACUUUCUGGUCUGUAACUGACGCUGAUGUGCGAAAGCG
rnacentral:rRNA from 1 species